rnacentral:rRNA from 1 species
CCCUUAGAUGUUCUGGGCCGCACGCGCGCUACACUGACAGAGCCAGCGAGUUAUUUCACCUUGGCCGGAAGGCUCCGGGUAAUCUUGUGAAACUCUGAUCGUGCUUUGGGAUCGAGCAUUGCAAUUAUUGCUCGUGAACGAGGAAUACCUAGUAAGCGCAAGUCAUCAGCUUGCGUUGAUUACGUCCCUGCCCUUUGUACACACCGCCCGUCGCUACUACCGAUUGAAUGGCUUAGUGAGGUCUUCGGACUGGACUUCGGGGAGCCGGCAACGGCACCCUGUCGCUGAGAAGUUGAUCAAACUUGGUCAUUUAGAGGAAGUAAAAGUCGUAACA